ACUUCCUACACACAAAGCCCUUUCCUGGCAAUAUCAGUCAGUGGCAAAACCCGUCCACAAAAUAUGGUCAUGCAGGUCCGGUUCAUACCCUCCACUCCCAGGCUCCAGCAGCAACAGAGGAGAAGAGCCCGGAGACCCUCCCCCAUACAUCCCAACCCCCGUUCUGCCCCAGCCAUUUUCCAGGGAAAGAACUUUCCAAGACCGUAAGCUCUUUGUGGGCAAGGAACGUAUCUACCAACUCCUAUAUUGUACUCUCCCAAGCGCUUUGUACAGUCCUCUGCACACAGUAAGCGCUCAGUAAAUGAGAUUGGUUGAUAGAUUUGCUUAUCACGCAGUAUCUAACUGCCCAACCUAGGGAUAGAGCCCAAUGUAGCACUAAACUAUAAGCUCCUCGAAGGCAGGAAUCGUGUUUAUCAACUCUAUGUUACUGUUCUCUCCCAAGCACUUUAUAGAGGGUUCUGCACAGAGUAAGCUCUCAAUUAAAAACCUUUUAUUGAAUGAUUGAUUGCAACUCCAAUGGGAAUAGGGCAGGUGCUAGUGCCCUGGUACUUACUUGGGAUUCUUCUACUCUUCCAUCAGACCUACAUGCAGGAGUUGAGUAGCACCCCCUUCCUAAUGUGACUGUGGGAAAGUAGGAACAGUUGGGGGAUUUUACCCUAUUUAAACGGAUCAGAUCAGAGGAAAAAAAGGUGGAGGCAUGAGAUUUUAGAAUUUUUUGGUUUGACAACACAUUACUAGCCCAGAGAAUAACUACUGAUAUCAGUCGAUCCUAAAACUGUGUCUGCAAACGGAUAAUGAUAUCCCCAUUUUACAGAUGAAAAAACUGACCAGGAAAAGACAAGAUCUUAAAAUCAGUAGCAGAACCGAUAGUCCACAUUCAGGUUCUCAGCCCCCAAGUCUCAGAACCUGGGCUCAUCUGGCAUUCUCAACUGGCGUGUCCCCAGCUUUGAAAAAUACGCAGAAGCAUUUGAACCUUGAAACAAGGAGCCUGUCAGGACUCAAUAAUAACGAUAAUAUUAAUAAUGAUGAUGGUACUUGUUAAACACUUACUAUGUGUGAAGCGCUGGGGAAGAUACAAGUUAAGCAGGUUGGACACAGUCCCUGUCCCCCGUGGGGCUCACAGAUUAAACAGUAGGGAGAGCAGGUAUUGAAUCCCCAUUUUACAGUUGAGGAAACUGAGGCUCAGAGAAGCAAAGGGAUUGCCCAAGGUGAUGCAUCAAACAAAUGGUAGAGCUGGGAUUAGAACCCAGGUCCUCUGAUUCCCAGGCCCGUGUUCUUUCCACCAAGCUCGGCCUCGAGACUUGUAAGCUCAUUAUGGGCAGGGAAUGUGUCCGUUUAUUGUUGUAUCGUACUCUCCUAAGCACUUAGUACAGUGCUCUGCACAGAGUAAGCGCUCAGUAAAUAUGAUCGGAUGAAUGCUUCCCACCCUCCUCAAGAGGAGAAAAGAAAGAAGAGGACAGACAGGGAGUGGCAGCAGCCAAAGAAAGGAGCCCAGGAAAGUAGAAAAGCUAAAGAAAGCAAGCAAGCAGGGUGAAGGUUAGAAACUAUGACCACAAGGGGAAAGAAUGAGGCAGGAGAAAUAGGAUGGGAGAGGAGUAGAACUCACGGUUGGCGGUGGUUGCAUUGGUGGACACUCAGCCACAAAGGGCUCAUCUCUGUUCUCUGUCUAUAUCGUGUUAGCGUUUUGUUUCAUUUCUCCUUCUAUGUCACUUAGCAAUCCCCACUCGUCCUUUUUCUUUUCAGAUUGCGAGCCCCCUGAUUAUUGAAAGGUGAAAGUUUCUGUACCAAGUCAUCAGACGUGGAACAUCUAAUUGUAACUGAUUCAGUGUCUAGUUCCCACCUGUUUAUUUUUUCCCUGUGCUUAGUACAAUGGUCUGCGCACAGUAAGCACCUUAUAAAUACCAUCACUACCAUUACUGGAUGGGUCUCAGGUGAGAAACUCAGCAAAAUUGGAGGGACUGAGAGAGAUUGGAAGAAAUCAGUGGAGGUAAGGGGGACGGAAGCCAGCUGGGAGGUUGAAAGAUGAGGUUGUGCAAACCACUAGCAUUAUAAUCAACUCCUUCACACAGUGUCUUGGCCCUCAAGUCCCUCUGACUGGAUCCAGAGCCAUCCACCGCUUAAAGUGGGAGAGAUUCCAACAUCAUUAUUGGAGUCUGCCCCCUCUGAUCAGUUGACAUUUUAACAAUGCAGUCCAUCAGGCAAAGGAAUUGAACGCUUACCGUGUGCCGAGCCCUGUACUGAGCGCUUGGGAGAGUAUAAAUAUUCACUGAAUCGAAUUUGACUUAUUGAGUCUCACCAGCAUCAGUUGUUGGAGUUUUUGGUAUUAUCGAUGGGAUUUUUUCCCAUCGCGAUCACGUGCUGCCAGGCUUAUGUACAUAUGUGCAUGUGUACUUUUGGAAAGUGAAGAGAAACAGGGAGGCCGACCUACAUGCAAGCACACAGGCUGGUGGGUUUCAUGCUCUGGGGGUGGGGCGGGGCGUCGCUUAAGGGUUGCCUCUUGUUGAGCUUCUUGGGGUGACAGUUCAA
rnacentral:lncRNA from 1 species